GACGAACGCUGGCGGCGUGCUUAACACAUGCAAGUCGAACGCUGAAGCUCAGCUUUUGUUGGGUGGAUGAGUGGCGAACGGGUGAGUAACACGUGAGUAACCUGCCCCCUUCUUUGGGAUAACGCCCGGAAACGGGUGCUAAUACUGGAUAUUCACUGGUCUUCGCAUGGGGGUUGGUGGAAAGGGUUUUUCUGGUGGGGGAUGGGCUCGCGGCCUAUCAGCUUGUUGGUGGGGUGAUGGCCUACCAAGGCUUUGACGGGUAGCCGGCCUGAGAGGGUGACCGGUCGCAUUGGGACUGAGAUACGGCCCAGACUCCUACGGGAGGCAGCAGUGGGGAAUAUUGCACAAUGGGCGCAAGCCUGAUGCAGCGACGCCGCGUGAGGGAUGGAGGCCUUCGGGUUGUGAACCUCUUUCGCUCAUGGUCAAGCCGCAACAAUGGUUGUGGUGAGGGUAGUGGGUAAAGAAGCGCCGGCUAACUACGU
rnacentral:rRNA from 1 species